rnacentral:rRNA from 1 species
CUGCCCAGUGAUAUAUUUUCAACGGCCGCGGUAUCCUAACCGUGCAAAGGUAGCAUAAUAACUUGCCUACUAAUUGUAGGCUAGAAUGAACGGGAAAACGAAAUAAAAACUGUCUCAGUUAGUUAACUAAAAAUUAUUCUCUAUAUAAAGAAAAAUAGAUAAAUUCGAAGGACAAGAAGACCCUAUAGAGCUUUAUUUUAUAACUAAAAAUAAUAUUAAAAAAAUUCGGUUGGGGCGACCUGGGGAAUAUAUAACACCCCUAAAUUUAAAGAUAAAUUAAUCACCUUAUUGACCCUGCAAAGAUCAAAAGACCAAGCUACCUUAGGGAUAACAGACUAAUCCCAUUCAAGAGUUCAUAUCAACAAUGGGUUUUGGCACCUCGAUGUUGGCUUAGGGUAUCUAUAUAGCGCAAAAGUUAUAAAAGAUGGUUUGUUCAACCAAUAACUCCCU